ensembl:lncRNA
GGGGGACCUGCCGCCGCUGCCGGCUCUUUGUCUGCUCGGGCAACUUGAACAAAAGGAGAAACUCGGAUGAACUCUCCAUCUCCUGCUCGCCUCUCCCGGCUUAACUCAUCUUCGGCAACUUCAUCGGAAGAGAUUUGCUCAACUUUCUUCGAGCUCUCCCGCCGCUUAAAAGCUAAGAGCCCCGCCGUAGGCUUCUAAGGAAAUCUGGUUUCACAGUUUAGAGAAAGGAGAAGGUCACAACAGGAUUGUUGGGAAAAUGGGAUGGUUGCCAGAACAUCAGUCUGUGAUGGGUGCCAUAUUGCAUUGCUCUUUGGAUGGUGGAAUACAGCUUGGGAUUCCUCAGGGCUGCCUACCGUGGUUCAAGCUGGACCAUACAGCUGCUUAACAUCUCAGCUGUUUGGAUUCAUUGUAAUGGUUAAUGAAUGGUUAAUGGUCUCCUGGGGGAAUGGAAGAGCCCCAUGCUGAAACUUGUGGAUAUUCUGGAACAUGCUUCUGAGACCCAUUUGGAUUAUAUCACCAUCUGACACCAGGGUUCUGCAGCUGAUGAAAGGAGUUUACCAGAUCUUUUUAUGUGGUUGCUGAAGCAUUGUCGUGGGACAGCAGUAAUGAUGGAUGGAUGAGCAGAAUACACUUCAGGCUUGGGUCACAGAGAAACAUGAGAAUUUACACUUCUGAAAUAGGUGUGAAUGGGAUUGAAGGAAUUCCGUGGAGGAUUCUGAACUCUCCUUCUUCCUGCUUCAGGAAAGAUGAGAGAUUCAGAUGGAUCACUUUACCAGCUGUCAAGGCCAAUACUUCUGUACAGUCCCUGCUCUCAACAACAGCCUCAGUGUCCUUGUGGUGGGGUGUCUUGGAAGGACUGUGCACAUCAAGCUUCACACUCCCUCUGCACUUGAGGCUCUCUCUGCUUCGAUCACUUGGAGGUGGACGUGGAAUAAAACCUCAGCUAUCAAGUUCUGACAAAUGUAUUUUAGAAUUCUGGUUUG